GCAGCGGCCACCGAGUGAUUUUCUUUGUUGUCCUGCGCCGCGGAGGCUACGACAGAGGUGGACAUGCGGCGCUUCAUGAACGGCGGCGAAAGCACCGAGGGACGGUAGGAGGACCUGGCGGUUUGCAUGAGGAGAGAUGAGUAGGGAGAGCUGGGGAGUCUGGUUGUCAAGCUGCAGAGAGCCAUUUUGGGGAGGAUAAGAAGUUG
rnacentral:misc_RNA from 1 species